UACGUAGGUGGCGAGCGUUGUCCGGAAUUACUGGGUGUAAAGGGCGUGUAGGCGGGGCGUCAAGUCAGGUGUGAAAUUCCGAGGCUUAACUUCGGGUGUGCACCUGAAACUGAUGUUCUUGAGUGUCGGAGAGGAAAGUGGAAUUCCCAGUGUAGCGGUGAAAUGCGUAGAGAUUGGGAGGAACACCAGUGGCGAAGGCGGCUUUCUGGACGACAACUGACGCUGAGGCGCGAAAGCGUGGGUAGCAAACAGGAUUAGAUACCCUGGUAGUCCACGCCGUAAACGAUGGAUACUAGGUGUAGGAGGUAUCGACCCCUUCUGUGCCGGAGUUAACACAAUAAGUAUCCCACCUGGGGAGUACGGCCGCAAGGCUGAA
rnacentral:rRNA from 1 species